rnacentral:rRNA from 1 species
UACGUAGGCAGCAAGCGUUGUUCGGAAUCACUGGGCUUAAAGGGCGUGUAGGCGGUUAUCCAAGUCGGGUGUGAAAGCCUUGAGCUCAACUCAAGAAAUGCACUCGGUACUGGGUGACUAGAGGACCGGAGAGGAGAGUGGAAUUCCCAGUGUAGUGGUGAAAUACGUAGAGAUUGGGAAGAACACCAGUGGCGAAGGCGGCUAUCUGGACGGUUUCUGACGCUAAGACGCGAAAGCGUGGGGAGCAAACAGG